rnacentral:lncRNA from 1 species
CAGAGAGUAGAUGGCAGUUGUCCUGUAUUUUUGCUGGUAUUUGCCGUGCCUCUGAAGUAGUUCCUGAGGUUCUCCACGAACAACACUUUGGGGGUGGAGGAGAAAACAAGUCCCUAAAGCCUCAGACAGGCCCCUGGUCUGUUUUGUUGGAAUCUGCUUGGCCCAGCAUAUGCAGGCUACUCCGUGAACAUCUGCCCUGAAUGGAUGCAACCUGCAGUGCUCAUGAUCCACAGACCUUUCUAAGUCAGAGGGGUACCUUCUGUGCAACCAAAAGUAACAAAGAAUGUAAGGAGACAGAGCGUUUGUGCCUUCCCCAAUUGCUU